GUGCCAGCCGCCGCGGUAAUACAGAGGGUGCGAGCGUUGUCCGGAAUCACUGGGCGUAAAGGGCGCGUAGGCGGCUCGGUAAGCGUGCGGUGAAAGCCCGGGGCUCAACCCCGGGUCGGCCGUGCGAACUGCAGAGCUGGAGCACUGUAGAGGCAGGUGGAAUUCCGGGUGUAGCGGUGGAAUGCGUAGAGAUCCGGAAGAACACCGGUGGCGAAGGCGGCCUGCUGGGCAGUUGCUGACGCUGAGGCGCGACAGCGUGGGGAGCAAACAGGAUUAGAUACCCUGGUAGUCC
rnacentral:rRNA from 1 species